rnacentral:piRNA from 1 species
UGACAUUGAAAUAGAAUGUUUGUGGAUGCA